rnacentral:rRNA from 1 species
GAUGAACGCUAGCGACAGGCCUAACACAUGCAAGUCGAGGGGCAGCAUGGUGUAGCAAUACACCGAUGGCGACCGGCGCACGGGUGAGUAACACGUAUGCAACCUGCCUACUACAGGGGGAUAGCCCGGAGAAAUCCGGAUUAAUACCGCAUAACACAGGGAUUCCGCAUGGAAAUAUUUGUUAAAGAUUUAUCGGUAGUAGAUGGGCAUGCGUUCCAUUAGAUAGUUGGUAAGGUAACGGCUUACCAAGUCAGCGAUGGAUAGGGGAACUGAGAGGUUGAUCCCCCACACUGGUACUGAGACACGGACCAGACUCCUACGGGAGGCAGCAGUGAGGAAUAUUGGUCAAUGGGCGAGAGCCUGAACCAGCCAAGUCGCGUGAAGGAAGACGGUUCUAUGGAUUGUAAACUUCUUUUGUACAGGAGUAACAUCUACCAUGUAUGGUAGCCUGCAAGUACUGUACGAAUAAGCAUCGGCUAACUCCGUGCCAGCAGCCGCAGUAAAAC